rnacentral:misc_RNA from 1 species
GGAAAAUCGACACAAUCAGUUUGUUUUGAAAUUUCGCCGUGAUGCGUUCGCUUUCAGAGCGCUCUCUCCACUCUUCCAGAAAUAAUUAAACACGAUAAAUACACUAAAAAAAUAUAUAUAGAAAAUGGAUACGAAAGUUAAUAGUUAAAGAUAUUACGGAAUGCAUUAAAACGUUUUUAACAACUGAAAUGGGUAAAAGGUACUGCAAAAAGUACUGGUUGAAUACGCAAGAACAGUUGUCAGGUGCAGUAAAAGUGUGAAAAAAAAGGAAAAAAGUGUUAAAGGGAAACAAUCAAAUGUGCAAAUAACUAAAAUAUACAUAUAUGUGUAUGUGUUGCCAAACGACUGCAAAAUGUGGGUCUUAGGAUAAAGUUUUUACAAAGUCAGUGACUUUGUAUACGUACGCAUUUAAAGCUUAUUAUAAUUUUAAAAUGUGUAUUAAUAAAGAAACAAAUCGAAGAAGGGUAGCUAAUUGGACAGCUAAUUGCGUUUAGUACAAAAGCAAACCUUCUUUGUACUGCUCUGUACAACAGACACUUCUGCGAGAAGGAAGCCCCACAGCUUUAGAAUGAAAUGGAGAUGCAAAGCUACUCUGGUCAUGGACCAUCGACAGGCACAUCAGAAACAGCAACAGCAACAGCAGCAGUUGCAUCUGCAUCAGACACAGCAGCAACAUUCACACGGCGACACUUCAAUUGUCGGCUGGAAGAGGCGGAUUGGCCUGGGGUUCGCCAGCCGUUUAUUGACUGCGACAGCAGCCACACCAACAGCACAUCCUACACCCCCAGCAGCAGCAACAACCACUUCCUGCCCACCGACAACAUCCUCAUCGAGGGACGCAACGACACAUUCCAGUGUGCACGGCAAGCUAUCGACGAAGCGGAGCACAGCGCAUUCUAUAGCUGCGAUGGGGAAAGCCCAUUGUCUGAAAACUGCACAUUGAAGCUGCAAGCGCGACUGUUGCGAUGGCCGUACGAGGCGUAUGAGCACUUUCGACUGGCAAUCAACGGGGCCCUCAGUGAUUAUGCUAGUGAUACACUUAGUGAUAGUUCGAGCUGCGAUGCGGGAGGCAUGGUGUUGCAAUGUGAGCUGGGCCAGGCCCAGGAACUAUUGCUUUGUCAUUUGCAAGAGCUCGAGAGGGAGCCACUUCGGGAGGUGGAAAGCGCGGAGGAGAGCUUCUCCAACGACAGCCUUCUGCAGGCCUUUCAAAUCGAGCUGGGCACAGAGCGCGAUGGGCUCUGGUCCUUCCUUAAUCUAAGCGAGCUAAUGGAGCCCGAUCACGACUUCCUGGGCAUCAUGAAUGUCACCAACACCAGCUUAGAUAUGAUUUUGCCGAACCUAACAGCCCUGAACACUACCACCUCCACUGCAGACUUGGCCACCGAGCUCGCGGUAACAAAGAGCUUUCUGGACUACAGUCCCCACGGCUACGAUUGGCUAUUCCUGUUCGUAGUGUUCUUUAUCUUCGCCGGUGGCCUGGGUAAUAUCCUUGUGUGCCUAGCCGUGGCCUUGGACCGGAAGCUGCAGAAUGUGACUAACUACUUCCUGUUUUCCCUGGCUAUAGCCGAUCUCCUGGUCAGUUUGUUUGUGAUGCCCAUGGGCGCGAUACCAGCUUUUUUGGGCUAUUGGCCACUUGGCUUUACCUGGUGCAACAUUUAUGUGACCUGUGACGUACUGGCCUGCUCAUCCAGCAUAUUGCACAUGUGCUUCAUUAGCUUGGGACGUUAUAUGGGAAUAAGAAAUCCACUGGGCUCGAGGCAUCGAUCUACGAAACGAUUGACUGGCAUAAAGAUAGCCAUUGUCUGGGUGAUGGCCAUGAUGGUAUCCAGCUCAAUAACAGUUCUUGGUCUGGUCAAUGAGAAGAACAUAAUGCCCGAGCCUAACAUAUGCGUUAUCAACAAUCGCGCCUUUUUCGUGUUUGGAUCUCUGGUGGCUUUUUAUAUUCCCAUGCUGAUGAUGGUUACCACAUACGCAUUGACAAUUCCCCUCCUCCGGAAGAAAGCGCGAUUUGCCGCCGAGCAUCCGGAAAGUGAACUUUUUCGCAGGUUGGGUGGACGCUUCACCCUAAGGCCGCAGCACAGCCAGCAGCAGUUGCAGAUGUUCAGUAGCUUCUCUGGCGGCAACAACAAAUUCCUAUCAAUGGGCGACAGCAAUCGCAACUUCAACACUGCAGGAGAGAUGGAGGCUGGAGUUCCUAGCAGAAGGAGGGGCGUAGAGCCCGCCGAACGACCUUUGAUGCAACAGCGAACGGCGAGCAGCAGGAGCAUGGGAACGGUUAGUUUCCGUAAUGUCGUGAACGGGACUAGCGGAGCCGCAGGAAGUGGGCGCAGGACGACGGGCACUGCCCACAGCAGCUUCCGGUUCUCUGGCGGCGGCAUCCUGCGGCACUCGUCGUCGUCUCCCGCCUCGAGCAGCCACUCCGCCAGCACUUCGCGUUCGAGCUCCUUCUGGCGCAAACACGGCGGCUAUCCAAACCUAAUGGACAGCCAUCCAAAUCGACGGGCCUCAGUGCGUGUCACCAUCUCCCAGCCACAAUUGGGUUACCCAACCAAUGUAGGUGGAAAUGGAGGUGGAGCUGCUGGAGCGACGGAGGUGGGGGCUGGUGGCAAUGGCUCAUCAGCCGGCAGAACGAGCAACUCAUCUCCUGGAGGCACGGGCUUGAUGAAAAUCGCAACCAUCCAGGGACCGACUCUGAACCAAAGUCAGGCGACUGGAGGCAAUCACCUGGUGCAAAAGGUAAAGCCGACGGCUUUAAAACCGGAAGAACCACAGCGCAACAAAGUGAGGCCCUUUAAAUUUGGCUUCAACCGCGUUGCCACGCCCACCCUCAAUUUGCGGUUACAAAAUGAUACAUUGACGGGAAACAAAAAUUAAUGGAUUAUUAGCUCAUAUUACUCACCUACUAACAAUAAACCCGAAGCAAGGAUUCAGAAAACUAAAGAUAGGCAAGCGGAUAAUGGGUUAAUACAUUUUCAAAAAUUGUGGGCCUUUUUUGACGUGCGACAGGCAAGCGGAUCUUUUAUUGGUCAAUUUUUUAACAUAUUCCA